rnacentral:rRNA from 1 species
AUACGGAGGGGGUUAGCGUUGUUCGGAAUUACUGGGCGUAAAGCGCACGUAGGCGGACUGGAAAGUUGGGGGUGAAAUCCCGGGGCUCAACCCCGGAACUGCCUCCAAAACUUCCAAUCUAGAGAUCGAGAGAGGUGAGUGGAAUUCCAAGUGUAGAGGUGAAAUUCGUAGAUAUUUGGAGGAACACCAGAGGCGAAGGCGGCUCACUGGCUCGAUACUGACGCUGAGGUGCGAAAGCGUGGGGAGCAAACAGGAUUAGAAACCCUAGUAGUCC